rnacentral:rRNA from 1 species
CCUACGGGUGGCUGCAGUGGGGAAUUUUGGACAAUGGGCGCAAGCCUGAUCCAGCAAUGCCGCGUGCAGGAUGAAGGCCUUCGGGUUGUAAACUGCUUUUGUACGGAACGAAACGGCGAGCUCUAAUAAAGCUCGCUAAUGACGGUACCGUAAGAAUAAGCACCGGCUAACUACGUGCCAGCAGCCGCGGUAAUACGUAGGGUGCAAGCGUUAAUCGGAAUUACUGGGCGUAAAGCGUGCGCAGGCGGUGAUGUAAGACAGAUGUGAAAUCCCCGGGCUCAACCUGGGACCUGCAUUUGUGACUGCAUCGCUAGAGUACGGUAGAGGGGGAUGGAAUUCCGCGUGUAGCAGUGAAAUGCGUAGAUAUGCGGAGGAACACCGAUGGCGAAGGCAAUCCCCUGGACCUGUACUGACGCUCAUGCACGAAAGCGUGGGGAGCAAACAGGAUUAGAUACCCAGGUAGUC